AACCUUUACACUGCACGACAGUGCGAUAAGGGAAUCCCAAGUGCGUAGGCAUAGAGCCUACGCUUUUGUCCACCGUAGGGAGGUGGACGAAUAAGGGCUGGGCAAGACCGGUGCCAGCCGCCGCGGUAAUACCGGCAGCCCGAGUGAUGGCCGAUCUUAUUGGGCCUAAAGCGUCCGUAGCUGGCCGCACAAGUCCAUCGGAAAAUCCACCCGCUCAACGGGUGGGCGUCCGGUGGAAACUGUGUGGCUUGGGACCGGAAGGCGCGACGGGUACGUCCGGGGUAGGAGUGAAAUCCCGUAAUCCUGGACGGACCGCCGAUGGCGAAAGCACGUCGCGAGAACGGAUCCGACAGUGAGGGACGAAAGCUAGGGUCUCGAACCGGAUUAGAUACCCGGGUAGUCCUAGCCGUAAACAAUGCCUGCUAGGUGUGGCUCCCACUACGAGUGGGUGCUGUGCCGUAGGGAAGCCGCUAAGCAGGCCGCCUGGGAAGUACGUCUGCAAGGAUGAAACUUAA
rnacentral:rRNA from 1 species